UGCCAGCCGCCGCGGUAAUACAGAGGGUGCGAGCGUUAAUCGGAAUCACUGGGCGUAAAGGGCUUGUAGGUGGAUUGAUAAGUUAGAUGUGAAAGGCCUGGGCUCAACCUAGGGACUGCAUUUAAGACUGUUAAUCUAGAGUAUGGUAGAGGUAAGUGGAAUUUCCGGUGUAGCGGUGAAAUGCGUAGAUAUCGGAAGGAACACCAGUGGCGAAGGCGACUUCCUGGGCCAAUACUGACGCUGAGGUGCGAAAGCGUGGGGAGCAAACAGGAUUAGAUA
rnacentral:rRNA from 1 species